GAUGAACGCUGGCGGCGUGCUUAACACAUGCAAGUCGAACGGGAAACCUUUUAUUGAAGCUUCGGCAGAUAUCGCUGGUUUCUAGUGGCGGUCGGGUGAGUAACGCGUGGGUAACCUGCCUUAUACAGGGGGAUAACAACCAGUACUGGUUGCUAUUACCGCAUAAGCGCACAGGACCGCAUGGUCCGGUGUGAAAAACUCCGGUGGUAUAAGAUGGACCCGCGUUGGUUUAGCUAUUUGGCGGGGUAACGGCCUACCAAGGCGACGAUCCAUAGCCGGCCUGAGGAGGGGAACGGCCACAUUGGGAAUGAGACACGGCCCCGACUCCGACGGGAGGGAGCAGUGGAGUAUAUUGCGCAAUGAGGGAAACUCUGAUGCAGCGGCGCCGCGUGAAGGAAGAAGUAUCUCGGUAUGUAAACUUCUAUCAGCAGGGAAGAUAGUGACGGUACCUGACGAAGAAGCCCCGGCUAACUACGUG
rnacentral:rRNA from 1 species